AGAGCAGAAAACAAACAAAAGGCCAUCAAUGGCCAUCAAGACAGCGAGAAAAUUCCUUAUCUUAAUUAAAAACCAAUUUCUCAUCGAUCUCGUUUUCAGAUAUGUCGUUUCUGUGUGUGUUGCAUUGUUGUUUGUUUUUUCACGUCAGUGUUCUGUUUGUUUCUUGUAGUAUACAACUGUUGCGUUAUUAAAUUAGAUUGAAACAUUCCGCACCC
rnacentral:lncRNA from 1 species